CUGCACCAGGCACAGAAGCUAAAAUUUGGCUUCGGAAACAUUCUUCUAUCCGAGUCUGCCAGGAUGUGGAACGUGCUCGGCGAUGGGGGUCAAGGACAGGAGAUUGCUGGAAUCCGCAUCCACGAGACGAUUGCUUCAAUUAGCUUUUGUUUUGUGUUCAAAAUCCACAGAUAAAUGUGUAACAUCCCAGCAAACAAAACCAAGUGAUAACGCGGCGGCCACGUUGGAAAACAGUCUUUACUGCAGACAGAAAAAAACUAAUGAAGCAAAUGAACUAAUUAUUGGAGAAGCUUCUAGACUGAACAGUAAAUUCAUUUCCAGGAAUUAUUCUUUUUUUUUAAUUUAAUACAGUUUUAAACUUUCA